UUAUUUGAAGAAAGUGUAUUUUUUUGUUCUUAAUGGCGGUACAGGCUCUUUUUUAAUAUUGUAUUUAAUUACAGAGUAAUGUCCACAUAUUAAUAUAUUUUUCAAAUUGGGCUCUGUACCGCCAUUCUCUAUUAUAUUACGAAUAGGUGUGCCAAAUAUCUCGAAAAAAUAUUCAAAAUUACAGCCGCAAUCUUGGAACGCGUUUUUGCUACCUGUUGAUCGCUACUGUUUCCUCUUAACAUAUUAUUAUAAAAAUCACAAAUACACGAAGAGAUUAACAUUUUCAAAACCAGAGGGCAGAAGAAGUAGAGAAGACCAGGAAGAAGAUGGAUUGAUGAUGUAGAAGAAGACCUAAAGGCGGAGAUACAUAUGCGCUCUGCUCGGUGUGCGAGCCGCUCGCGCGCAGCGUAUUCGUCAGAUUAGUACGUGUUUUCAAGUGACGCACAAACGGCACGCACACGGCGCACCACGAUCUAAAUUCUGUCGGUUUUUCAACAAACGCUUUGAUGGUUCGCAAUACGUAUUUGGACGGGUUUGCGAGUGGUUUGUUGGUUUUGGCGCGCAUGAGUUGAAUAUUUGUUAGUAAUGGAAUGGUCGGAAUUGUCGGAAGGAAAUUGAUGUUUACCGUGGAAAAUCAUUAUUGUGGGAUCCUCAAUAAAGAACCAUUUAAUUUAAAGAAACAACUUAAAUCCGAUCUGAACGGAAAUAGAAGCUGAAAUAAAAAAAUGUACAUGCGGACCUUUUUAAAAAAUGUUAGUUCAUUGUUGUACUAAAAAUAACAUGUAUUAAAAAUAAGAUUUACUAUUUUAUUUGGGCAUAAGCCACAAUUCGAGUUUGAAAUCAAGUUUACUUGACCUUUCGACUUUCACUUCGGAAAUAGUUAUUAAUAUCAAAAAAACAUUCAUAAGCAGAUAUAUAUUAUGUGUCACCGGAAAGCGAAAUAGGUAACGCACGACUUGGAGAACCUAUAGUUUUCUAACUUGGUGUCUGGUGAAGCAACGCAGUUGAAACAAGCGGAUAUAUUAUAAUUGUGUCACCGGCAAGCGAAAAAGGUAAGGCACAACUUGGAAGACCCAAUAGUUUUCUAACUUCGCUUCUGGUGAAGCAACAGAGUUGGAACAAGCAGAUAUAUUAUAAUUGGGUCACCGGAAAACGAAAGAGGUAACGCACAACUUGGAAGACCCAAUAGUUUUCUAACUUCGCUUCUGGUGAAGCAACGGAGUUGGAACAAGCAGAUAUAUUAUAAUUGGGUCACCGGAAAGCCAAAAAGGUAACGCACAACUUGGAAGACCCAGUAGUUUUCUAACUUCGCUUCUAGUGAAGCAACGGAGUUGGAACAAGCAGAUAUAUUAUAAUUGGGUCACCGAAAAGCCAAAAAGGUAACGCACAACUUGGAAGACCCAAUAGUUUUCUAACUUCGCUUCUGGUGAAGCAACUGAGUUGGAACAAGCAGAUAUAUUAUAAUUAUGUCACCGGAAAACGAAAAAGGUAACGCACAACUUGGAAGAGCCUAUAGUUUCCUAACUUCGCUUCUGGUGAAGCAACGGAGUUGGAACAAGUAGAUAUGUUAUAAUUGUGUCGUCGGAAAGCGAAUAAGGUAACGCACAUCUUGGAAGAGCCUAUAGUUUCCUAACUUCGCUUCUGGUGAAGCAACUGAGUUGGAACAAGCAGAUAUAUUAUAAUUCGGUCACCGGAAAGCGAAAAAGUUAACACAGGGUUUGGAAGAACCUAUAGUUCUCUAAUUUCGUUUCCAGUGAAGCUACGCAGUUGAAACAAGCAGAUACAUUACAAUUGUGUCACCGGAAAACGAAAAAGGUAUCGCAUGACUUGGAAGUACCUAUAGUUCUCUAAUUUUGUUUCUGGUUGUAGGAACAAGCAGAUAUAUUAUGGUAGGGGAGCAAAGUAUGCUAAAUGUGCAGUCACUCGAGCGCUUUGGGGACCUAUUGGGUUGUGAUUAUUAGGUCCUAAAACCAAAAAAGUUAAGUAAAAUUUUCCAUUUUACUGGGGACUUCCCAUUUUUUAAUUUAAUUUUCCAUUUCCAACAAUCUUUUUUCCAAUUAUAGCGCCAUCUAUCCAUAAUUCAAAAAAAUGUUUCGAAUAAAAGUUGUUUAUUUUUAUACAAACAAUCCAAAUCUGCAAUAAGAAACGGGGUCUACCAUUUAAGAUUUUAAAGUAACCCCCCACCUCACCUCCGUGGGGGGUCGUGUUUGGAACCAUUCGAUAGAUUUUUCAAAAUCAUUGAUAAAGUGUAUUUUGCAGUUUUUCGAUAUGAUGUUUAUUUUGCGAAAGAUCGCGGGAUUUGUAUUAAAAAUUUUAAAUUUACCCCCCACCCCUCUCCGUGGGGGGUCAAGUUUGGUAUUUUUCGAUAGAUUUUUGAAAAAUAUUGAACACGUAGUUUUUAGUUUUUCAAUCUGACGUUCAUUUCGCGAAAUAUUCGCUUUUUUGUGAAACUUUUUGACUCACCCAUUUCCGUACGCCCCGCUCAAAUCGUCAUAUUUUUGAAAUAUAGACUCUUUUGCAUGUACUUAACUUACCUUAUCUUAAUCUGACAAUUUCGAAUAUUUUAAGGAUAGAUUUUUUUUCGGGCCCCCCUGAACGAACUCCCCUGUGUUAAGAGCCAAUAUAUGGUGGAGGUACAUCUGCAGGGUACCACGUUUCUCCCCAUAUGAUAAUCUGACGCGCUCGAGUAACUGCAAAAAUCCCCGCUUGGGCUCCCCUACCAUUAUAUUUGUGUUGCCAGGAAGCGAAAAAGGUACUUCCCGAAAUGUUCCCAAACUGUGGCUUAUUCCACAUAAAAUAGUAAAUUGCAUAAGAUGACACAAGAAAAUAGUUUCAAAACAAUACCAAAAUAAGAUGUAGUAGAAGUAAGUACAGGACAGAGACAUGAUUAUCUACAAUUACUAAACGUUCGUAAGUUUCCUCUGGAUCGUCAAAAUGAAAAAUUUUAACUAACAAUAACCGCGCCACGAACGCGCGGCGCACACACGGCGCGGAGUUCGCGGCGCGGAUAUGUAUUUCCGCCUUAACGAUUUUAAGGGUCACAAGAUGGAGGGAAGUUGCCAGGAAUCGACAGUAGUGGCAACUUCAACUUCUUUGCGAGCAGGCCAAGAUCCGCAUACCGGCUUAUAGCUUAUGGCAGCGGUUCUCGAACUUUUUUAGUCGCGGCACCCUUGUAGGGCUAAAAAUAUUUCGAGGCACACCAACCCUUGAAGCGAUUUGGGAAAGGACAAAAAAUGAAAAAAAAAAUACAAUUCUGAGACUCAUUUGAUUUCAAUAUAGGUAAAAUUUAUAUCAGAUCAAUAAAAUACAGUACAUUUGAUAUUAAAAUAUCCUUACUUAAUGCAAUGAAUGAAUGAAACUGUUUCGAUGAUGUUUUCAUUAUAUCCUUUAUAAUUAUGGGAAUCUUGGUAAGUUUGACCCUCAAAUCCCUUGAUGCUUGAAGUUUGCUUCUGUAUUUUUUGUUUUUAAUGUAACAUAUGCGGAGAAAGAAGACUCACAAAAAUAAGUCGAUCUGAAACACACAAGUUUUUUCACUACAACCUUGCCAACAACAUUAUUUUCUGAAUAUACCUGCAUCCAGAACUCUUCUUGACUUCCUUCACGGUAUUUGAGUUUUAAACUGCUAUCUUCAUUGAUCUUGAUCUAGAUUUUGAAAAACUUCAUUUGUCAUUCUGACAGGUCUAUUUUUUGGGUCGAACGAAAACGAGUCCAUCAUCCAGCUAUACAGGGUGUCCAGAAACUCUACAAACAAAGACAGGAGAUUCCUCAGUUAACCCAAUUCAUCUAGUUCGAAAAUGCUUCCUAAAGGAGCUAGAGCUAUUUGAAGAUGGCGCCUGGUAAUUAGUUUUUCUUAAAUAUCUCCAGAACUCUUCUAUUUAGAGAAACGAAAAUUGGUUCACAUAUUUAUCUUCCAGAGAUAAAUCGAUUUCAUCCAUUGCAAAUUUCUAGUAUUAGUCAUAGGCGUCCGUUUUGGGUAGGGCGACAGUUAUAUUAUCGCAUAACAUUUUUGUUUUUAUUUUUAAGCAUUUUUGAGUCUGGAUUAUUAAAAUGUAAGGUAUUAUAGUACUAAAACGUACUCUUAUUUUAAGUCGGUACGAUACACCGUUUUCUAGAAAAAUCGAUUUGAAAAUUUUUCGUUUUUUGAAUAUCAAAAAAAAACUAUUUUGAAAAACGAAAACUGGUACCUUUAUUUAUAUUCCGGAGAUGAAUCGAUUUCAUUAAUUUAGAAUUUCUAGUACCGGUGAUAUGCGUUCGUUUUGGGUAGGCCAAGGGUUAUUUUAUCGCAUAACUUUUGGUCUUUAAUUUUUAAGAUUUUUUGACACUAAAUUAUUAAAUUAUGAGGUAUCCUAGUACUAAAAGUUACUCUUGCUUUAAGUUGGUAAAAUACACCGUUUUUUGUGAAUUUUUUUUUUCAAUUGUUUUUUUAAAUUCAGGAAACGAAAAAUUUUUAAAUCGAUUUUUCUAGAAAACGGUGUGUUCUACCCACUUAAAACAAGAAUACCUUUUAGUACUGGAAUACCUCACAAUUUAAUAAUCCAAUAUCAAAAAUGCUUAAAAGUUAAAGACAAAUAAGUUAUGCGAUAAAAUAACUGUUGCCCCACCCAAGACGGAAGCCUAUGACUGGUACUAGAAAUUUACAAUGGAUGGAAUAAAUUUAUCUCUGGAAGAUAAAUAUGUGUACCAAUUUUCGUUUUUCUAACUAGAAGCAUUCUGGAGGUAUGCUAUCUUCAAAGAGCUCUAGUUCUCUUAGGAAGCAUUUUCGGACUAGGUGAAUUUGGUUAAAUUGCCUUAAAAAUAUCUGAGGAAUCUCCUGUCUUCGUUUGCCGGUAGAAUUUCUGGACACCCUGUAUAAGUCAUCUGAGUCAAUGUCAGGAUAGUUUACAAUACUUUCUUCCAAACCUUGCAAAUGAGCAAUAACAAUUUCAAAGAAGUUCGUUUGAGGAUUGAUUUCAUUUGUUAUAACAAAUUCCUGUUAUCGAGAGAAACUACAAAUAGUCAACAUGUUUCGAUUGGAGAGUGGCGCAGCGGCCGGUUGUUCGACUUUUCUUAAAGGUUCCAUGUCACCCUCGGCAAUUGCUUGAGGCACCCCAGGGUGCCGUGUCACCCACUUUGAGAACCUCUGGCUUAUGGCAGUGGUCGGAGUGAAAUGGAAUGUUGAUGAAUAUUCGCAGUCAAGUCCAGGAUAUAGUGAAUAACGAAUGCGAAACAACUUACGUGGUGCGGCCAUAUUCAAAGCAUGACAGAAGAUAGACUACCAAAGCAACUUGUAAUAUAUGUGGUGCCACUGUUAGGCAACCAACAUGACAUGAGCCUGGUGGUGACAUAACCUGUCAUCAUAGGGGGCAGUCAACAUGUGAAUGUGUCAUGAAAAUGAUCACAAUAAAAGGUCUUGAAUCAAACAUAUUCUAUUUAUUCAUCUUUAUCAUAGAGGUAUAUAUUAACAUAGAGGGAGCCUACCUUCCGCGCUUCCUGACGACAAGAUCUCAUGGACUGGUUUGCUCCAUCUCUUUCUAACACAUUGUAUCGAAAAUCUAUGAUGACAUUCAGUGCAUUUCAGUGUGAAUAUAGGCACGGAAGAGGAGGACAACUGUAGCAGCUUUACUAUGCGUAAGAGUGAAACAGCACUAAUCCAAAUAAAAAAGAUGGUGUCGUCACUUCGCUCUGAAUAACACUCUCUCUAUGCUAAUAUAUAACUCUAUGAUCUUUAUACCCUGGGCCCGUAUUCUUGAAUUUCAGAGAGUAGAAAUGGUAGGAGAAAGUGACGUAAAAGUAGGCGUGGCUCCCUAAAACCGAAAAUGCUGUAUUCUUGAAAAAAAUUCUCUUAAUCUUUGAGAGAAAUGUCACUCCCCAAGGGAGUAAUAAUUUCUACUGGUAGUAUGUAAGAGAAAUUGAAAAUUGGAGUGAAAAUAA